rnacentral:ncRNA from 2 species
UUGCUCGCAGGCGAUGGAGUUCGCCUUCAACCGCCCUUUACGGACUGAUGACUCCUACCUGAAC